GCUAACCCCGUGCCGGCAGCCGGAGGAAUACGGAGGGUGCAAGCGUUAAGCGGAAUUACUGGGCGUAAAGCGCACGCAGGCGGUUGGAUAAGUUAGAUGUGAAAGCCCCGGGCUCAACCUGGGAAUUGCAUUUAAAACUGUCCAGCUAGAGUCUUGUAGAGGGGGGUAGAAUUCCAGGUGUAGCGGUGAAAUGCGUAGAGAUCUGGAGGAAUACCGGUGGCGAAGGCGGCCCCCUGGACAAAGACUGACGCUCAGGUGCGAAAGCGUGGGGAGCAAACAGGAUUAGAUACCCUGGUAGUC
rnacentral:rRNA from 1 species